GCGCCCGUAGCUCAGUGGAUAGAGCGUUGGCCUGCGGAGCCAAAGGCCGUGGGUUCAAGUCCCGCCGGGCGCGCCA
rnacentral:tRNA from 3 species